rnacentral:rRNA from 1 species
CCUACGGGUUGCAGCAGUGGGGAAUAUUGCACAAUGGGCGCAAGCCUGAUGCAGCCAUGCCGCGUGUGUGAAGAAGGCCUUCGGGUUGUAAAGCACUUUCAGCGAGGAGGAAGGUGGUGAACUUAAUACGUUCAUCAAUUGACGUUACUCGCAGAAGAAGCACCGGCUAACUCCGUGCCAGCAGCCGCGGUAAUACGGAGGGUGCAAGCGUUAAUCGGAAUUACUGGGCGUAAAGCGCACGCAGGCGGUCUGUCAAGUCGGAUGUGAAAUCCCCGGGCUCAACCUGGGAACUGCAUUCGAAACUGGCAGGCUAGAGUCUUGUAGAGGGGGGUAGAAUUCCAGGUGUAGCGGUGAAAUGCGUAGAGAUCUGGAGGAAUACCGGUGGCGAAGGCGGCCCCCUGGACAAAGACUGACGCUCAGGUGCGAAAGCGUGGGGAGCAAACAGGAUUAGAUACCCUCGUAGUC